CAGUCGCCGCGGGAAUACGUAGGUGGCAAGCGUUGUCCGGAAUUAUUGGGCGUAAAGGGCUCGCAGACGGUUUCUUAAGUCUGAUGUGAAAGCCCCCGGCUCAACCGGGGAGGGUCAUUGGAAACUGGGAAACUUGAGUGCAGAAGAGGAGAGUGGAAUUCCACGUGUAGCGGUGAAAUGCGUAGAGAUGUGGAGGAACACCAGUGGCGAAGGCGACUCUCUGGUCUGUAACUGACGCUGAGGAGCGAAAGCGUGGGGAGCGAACAGGAUUAGAUACCCCGGUAGUCCCUGUCUCUUAUAC
rnacentral:rRNA from 1 species